ACUACAAUAAAUAGAAAACAAAACAAAGCUAGAGCUGCCAGAGGAAUGGUCAAGUUAGAUCUGAUCUGAACACUACAUUAAUGAUUACAAAUCUACAAGAAAAAACAUCAGUAUGCUCUGCACUCAGCUUAAUUUGUGGAACAUGACAUUUUCAUUUGUUUCAACUUACCUUUCAAGCAAAGGUUCGGAGGUAAUGAUAAAAGGACAAUUUAUCUAAAUAUCAAAUAUCCCAACCAAAGAAAUAAAAUGUGUUUGCCACAAAUAAAAAUGUCAUGAAUGGUCUUCUCUGGCAGCACCGCUGAUUUCUACAAAACAAAAGGGACAACACAUAUGGCCGACCUUUUACCACUUUACGUAUAGGUCCUUAGCCCUACAUAUACCAGCACAUUUUGCACAAUGUUUUAACAUAUUCUGUUUACAUUUUUUUGGACCCGAAUUUCAAAAUAGAUUUUUCAAUAUAAAAAGGUCUUUCUUUUUCUUUUUGGAUUUCCAUGUAGAGUUCUUUUAUAAAUGUCAUUGCACAAAAUUUGCUGGCAAAACCCUAUGUCUGGUUGACUACCGAGUAUAGAGAUAAGACGCGGGCGCGUAGACAUGGGUACUGUCACCUUGGUGCCUGAACUGAAUGAACCGUUACCUUAUCUUCUAACUCAGUAAAAACCUCCUCGAAAAAAUCAUCAAAAUCUUGUUGGCCCUGGACAUCAUCCAUGGGAACUGAAAAUCAAGGCACAAACACUGACUCCAAAAUGUAUUAAUCACCACAACCCAAGAUUCUGUUUAACACGUCCCAUUCCAUACUUAUAAUGCAAGUGUUAAUUGUACAUGUAUGCUUUGAACUAUCAUUUACUCCAACAAAUAACUUAAUUGUUGAACGAAAACAUACUGUAAAGAAACGGUGUAUUAUUUAUACAAGAAAACAAAAUACAAAGGAAUGAUGUAAAAAAAAAAUAAAAAAAUCAUUUUUAACGAAAGAAAAAAGAUAUUCUUUUUAUUUUGUUAGAAGAGAAAUAUUAUAUGACAUAAAUGUUGGUUUAUUCAUCAAUUAUUUCACAAAUAAGGAAAUACAGAAUAACUUUCACAUAUAAUCAAACCAUGCAAGAAUAGGUCAAGACAAGCUAUGUUAAGGUACACGGGGCAAAAAAUUAUAACAUAUAUCUAUUUAUGUAUACAAAAUGCUUUAAUAUGAUUUCUAUCAUUUUUUUUUAACCAUCCCAACAUUUGAUGUCAAAAUCAGCAAACACCAGCAUGUGACAGGCCAGGAAUUUUCCUACCAUGUGUAGGGGCACCAAUUACUUCAAUCCGAUUCCCAAUUUAAUGCUUAAAUAGUACAAUUUUCUCCAAUCUGAAGCAAAUAUCUUCCCAAUUUUACAAUGAUGGGAAAUUUUGAGAAUAAAAGUCACUCAUCCUGUCAUGCUCACAGGUACUUUACACCCUCGUUUUCUGACAUGUCAAAUGCCCAUGGUCCUGCAAUUUGGAUGUGGGUGCCUAAAAUUUUGGGGGCCCACUUCACUCACUGAAACUUUCAGUGAAUUUUCAUCCCUGCUAAUGAAUUACAUUCUUGUAUUAUAUAAAGAAAGCUCAUAAUUCCAAAUUUAAAAUCAUUCAUCAUAAUGAAAAAGCAGUGACUAGAAUUUCCUUCCUUUUUUAAAAAUUCACAAUUUAAAGGGCCCAGGUCCCCUUCCCAAAAGAGCCCUAAGGAAAAUCCCAGAUAGUUGUCAUAAUUUGCAGUAAUGUUUUAGUGCUAAAAUAUCAACAGUGCAUCUAUAUUGUUUUAAUUUGUUUGUUUACAGAUUAUUCUUUCUGACAAUUCCCUUUGUUUUCAGCAUUUAAAUUUAGAAAAUCAUUGUAGUCAAAACUUGUGGUAAAAAAAAAAGAAGAAAA